AAAAUUCUUCUUGAAACUUUAGGUUGUUAUUUGUGCAAAGCUCUUCAACGUGUUGCAGGAAGGAUUUCUUGCUUAUUGGCCUCCAAGCAAAGAAAGGUAUGAAAUGGAGUCAAGUUAGGUUGAGUUCUCUCCCUUUAACCUGGGCACUGCCUUUCCACCCGAUGAAUUACCAAACAAGGGACUUUUCAAAAACCCCACGGCCCUUUAAAGCCACUCUGUCCAAUUUCAAAAUUAGGUUUUCCCCUUUAAGUUCACUUUCUUUGUAUUUCAUGGUACAGAAAGCCUUCAAGUUUUAAGUACUUUCAAUGAAUGAUUUAACAUUUGAAUGAAGCAAAGUUUUCAAGCAAAUGUAAGGGCAUAAAGUUAUCAUUGAAUCCUAAAGCACAUAAUACCUCUUUGUCAUACAGAGAACAUUUUAUACAUUACAAGGUUUUAGAAGAUAUAAAAUAUUGCAGUGACCUCAUUCUCAUAACGACAUGGUUUUUAGACCCUAAGGAGUUUAAAUAUCCCCGUAUUACUUCCCAAGCGAAAAUACAGACAUGCAGGCUUCACCCCAGAGAGAGAAAAAGCAUUUCUCCAGUUACCAUGCAAUUAGUCAUGCUUUUAUGAUUUAUAUCCCGCUCGGAGGUUUUUCUAACAAACAUACAAAAAAGGAAUCACACAUUAAGAUUCAUUGAAUCAGUGAAUCUAGAGUUGAUAUUCAAAAAGAAGAAAGGAUAUUUAACAAACUUACUUGAUGGAUUUUCUAUAACUAAGUAACCUGCAACAGAGAUUGUGUUAAAUGCACUGUGAGUUGAGGGUACAGCUUUUUCUGAAAGAGUUCUAAAUUAAAAUCAGAAAAACAUGAUAAAUCAGUAAGGUAUGACAUGCCUUUAAUGAAUAUGUGAUCAUUAUUUUAAAUCUGAAAUUAUAUUAUUUGGACCCAGAUAUGGCCAAUUAAUAAUUUAGCAUCUCUCUCAAGCUAAGAAGGUGCUUUUAUACUGUUAGGCAUUUGGGCAUUACAUUAAAAACAGGUUACUUUUUAAUACAGUACAUAGUACUUAUUGGUAUAAAAGAGUUAAUGCAGAUUAAAAUUGUUUUGUCCAUAAAGAAUGCUGAAUCAGGAGGGGAGUCUGAAAAAAUGACAUCAUAUUGCCUAAGUCUGGUUUCAUGAAUUUUCAUGUAUAUAUAAAACCAUAAGAAAUCACAAUAAUUUCAGUUACUUUAGAUAUAGAACCUUUUGUGACAUUGCCAAGGUACUUAUACUCUGAAAAAAAAAAACUGAAAUCAUUUUUAACAGCUAAACAAGACGAUGCAACACACAAAUUCAGAGAUGAGCACAUCUUUAAUAACACAUUGUCAUGCACAACAAAUUAACACCGCAAAAAAACACAAAAGGCACAAAGUAUAAUGAAAUAAAAUGAGGAGCAUAUGCCUUUAUUAAAGUUUUAAAUUUUAAACAUUAUGAGGGAUGAUGUCACUAUAUUAAGCGAAGAAUAUUUAUAAGAGGAUGUGACUUUUGAGAUAAAGGACAAAUAAAAAAUAGAUUGAAAAUGCGGCAUAAUAAAUACUACGAAAAUGGUUACAAAUAGGUAUGUUCAAUGAAGAAAAUAUGAGUCAGAAGAGUGUAUUUUGUUACAAUACAGGAAUUGGUGAAGAAUAUAGAGGUGCUAGAACAAGUAUUAUCAGGAAGAAUGACAGAAUUUGGUUGAUGCUAUUAGGUGCUCCCCAAGCAGAAGGAAGUAUCUCUCAGCUUCUCAGGGUAUAACCUAGCAGAAGAGCCCAUCAUCAGACCUGGCAUCACAGGGUUAAACAGCACUGUUAGAGCAAAGUCGUGGUGGAUGAACUUGUGGUCUUCCAUCCACACCCCUGAGUGCAUCUAAGCAGGCAAAAGAGAGAUCCUGACUCUAAUUAGGUGGAUAUAGAGAUGGCUGAAUUGGGUAUUGACUCAGAAGAACCCUGGGGACAGGAAGACAGAGUUGUAUGAAUUGGAGACCCUGCAGAGACUUCUGACAUAGCAAUGCAUGCAGUGGCUACUGAGGCAACAGUCAAUCCCUGUUGGAAAUAAUUACCCCUCAGCAAAGACCAGCAAGAAGAGAAGACAGCCAUGAGCUAGACCCAAUACCCAAGCCCCUUCAAAGGCCUGGUGUCCCAGUGUUCCUAUGCAAUUAUAUUCCUCAGAAGUAGGUUAGGUUGGGCAAAUCUUAAUUAGCUGCGCUUAAGAUAGAAAUGAAUGAGAUACUUGAAUUAGCAAGAUCAAAUUCCCUACCACCACACAGAAAGGGAAAUGUCUUGAGUUGGGUGAUCACUUUUGUAAUAUGGAAUAUUGUUCAGUUUGUGACUGGUGAAAUUCAGAUAUUACAUCCACUUUCAUUGACAGGCUCAUGGUCCACCUAAUUUAACGACGGCAGACAGCCACCCUAUAGUGGGGAGAGUUUUGUCUCUUUACCCAGACGAUCCAAGAUAAUUUGAGGCAGUACUGGCAAAAAUAUUUUUACUGGGCUAUCUGAAACCUGAAAUAGAGCUAGUUUCUAGGCAGCCAUCAAGAGUAUUGGAAGAAUUAUGACAUUUAUGAAAUCCUCAAGAAACAUUAAACAUGAAUAAUCAUUAAAAUAUAAAUGAGCAAGAAAUAGCUAAAAGCAUCAGAUUACUAUUCGCAUCCUUAUUCUAUUUUUAUUAAUGAUCUUUCUUCUCAUUUAGAAAUUACAAUUAACUUAAUAUUUUUCUUUUUUGGCAAUUUCUUUUGAGUGAAGAACUCUAUAGGAGGUUGCUUUUAUUAUUUUUAUUUUACAUCUGAGACAUUUCUCUGGAAAUGCUAACUUUAAAACUCUAACUGGCUCCCUAUUGGACGUGGAUGAAUAUUUUUGAAUCAUUUUCUUAUUAUAAAAUGCAGUGCCCUUAUUGGCCUAAAACACUUUCUCCAGCAAUGCAGCUCUCUUAUCUUGAACAAGUUACUUAAUCUUUUUCAGUUCCCAAUUUAGAGACUAUAUGUAAAUCAAGCUCAUAUAUGUGAAAUGCUAAAAAAUGCCCACCCUCGCUUUGGAACAGUACAGAAAUGUUAGUUACUAUCAUCAGUAUUAUAACUUCUAUUUCCAGUUCAUUUUGUAAAACUCAAGCUCCUCCUACCAAUCUCAUCCACAGUUGAUACUUAUAUAAAGAAGGAUUUUUGUUUGUUUGUUUCUAAACGAAUAUUUUACUCAAAACUGGGAAGAAUAGAUUGUGCUAAAUUUAGCAGCAAGAUUUCCUAUUUUGUUCUCCCUAAUCAGAGUCCCAGAAUAAAGAGUGAUUAUAAAUGCUUCAAAGCAAAUUUUGUUUUUUAGUUCCCAAUUCCAAUCCUAAAUAAAUCCCUAAUAAUAGAAAGGCUAUAAUAAUUAUUUUUUCAUAUUAUCAUGUGAAGGCGUUUCUAAUCAUACCUGCAUUUUCUGUACAUUAGUCCUUAUAACUACCCUUCACAUGACCCUGUUUGCACUCCAGCUAUUUUCUUACUAUCAGUUUCUACCAUUCCAGGUGUUUUCCCACAAACAGAUUCUACUAAUUCCUUAAUAGCUAAUUCAAAUAUUAAUCCUUCCAUGAACCUUACUCUGUUCUAUUACAGAGAAACUAACUUCUUCCUAUGAAACUAAAUUUCUAUGGACAAAGCACCCUCCACCUUGUAUUAUAGCAUGCUUUCUCUCUCUCUCUCUCUCUCUCUCUCUAUAUAUAUAUAUAUAUAUAUAUAUACACACACACAUGCAUUGAGGUUCCUGUUGACUUGAAAGCAGGGACAGGAUUGACACUUGGUUUGCUCCAAGUCCCUCAUAAACUUAUUCACAGCAGACAGUGAAUAAAUCAUUAUGAAAUACACAAAUGUGGACAAAUCCAGACUAAGAUACAUAGUAAGCUAAAUGUAAGUACUCUGAUAAUUAUGAGAGAAUCUCUGAACUGAAUGAAUUUUCCACAAAAAUAUUAAGUCAUUGGGAAUUCUCAGGAGAUCCUCCUCAAAGGUUUAAAUAAGUAUGAUCAAUAGAUUUAUCAGUAAACAGUACACAAGACUAAAAAGCCAUAUCAGAUCCUUUCAUAGAAGAAGUUAACAGGUGCUAGAUACUCAAGAAAUUAGAUGUAUAAACAAUAAAGUCACUCUUAUCUACACAAGAAAGAAGAGAGGUUUAAAAAAUCUGUUUUGGCUUUAUUAAUUUUUUGGUAUCGAUCUUUAUCUAAACCUAAUCACUAUAUAUAGUCUGUUCUUCACAUUUGCGUUUAUAUAAUGUGAGAAACAAGGCUUCUAAUAGUCUAUUUUUAUGUAAUUUCCUCUUCUGUGUCUAUCUCACAAUUAUGUGUGAACUGAAAUCAAAACACCUAUCUGGAUACCUUAAAUUGAGGUAUUUUGGCAUAAAUUAUCUGUUUCAAAUAAAAAUUUUUUCUUGUUGUCUUGAGUCAUCACAUCAUUGCCUUGAUUCUUAGCCUCAGGGUGUAUGAGUGUAUCUUUAUCUUAAGCAUUAGCUGUAUUCUAAGUUAUAUUUUUCUUUGAAGUUGUAAAGUUUUAUUUGCAAAUAGAAAAAAAUAAAAAUUUGGACAGUUUAUGCAUGGAAUUAUAAAAGAAGGUGGGAUAUAGUAUGAGAAAAUUCCUUGACUUUUACUGAUGAAAUUAAAUUCAUUUUAAAAAUGAAGAAAUUAAAUUCAUUUAAGAAAAAUAGGUAAGCAUUAAAAAACUUAAAGAAAUUAAUGGACACAAAAAUCAAUGAUGUUAUUUCAGAAGGAGUGCUGUUUUCAAAUCAAAUGAUCUGUGGAGACACUCAAAGAGACUCAAAUAGAAAACUUAUUAACAUUAAAAAAACUUAAUUGUUACAUGGAAAUCAUUUAGACUGGUAUGGUACUAUUCAGUUACAAUAGUGAAGGAUAGUGUCAGAUCCUAUUUAGUUCAUUAGUAUAUAAAUCAAUUUAGAAAUUGUCCAGAUUUCAGUAAGAUAACUUACCACUUUCUAAUUUAAAGGCUAAACACUUUUUAUUACAUGAAUCUUAGCUUAAAUCCUAUGCCCUUUUGUUGAAAAGAGUAUUAUUUCAUGUCUGGGCUCGUUUUUAAAAAGUCUAUCAAAAACUUAAAUUCCACUCAGAUUACUCUUGAUAUAUCUGGCGAAGAACCAUUUAUUUAUGUUGGCAGUGGUGACUGAAGACCAUAUUGUCACAGAGACUCAGCUUUCCCUCAAGGUCAAGUAGUUGAAGUCUGUAGGGAAUUAAAAUAUAGUCCCAAAGGGGAGCCAUAGAUGAUAGCCUAUAGAUGAGCAGCUUAAAUCAGCAUUACCAGUGGCAUAGGAUAAACUGAGAAACUGCUUUCUACUUAACCAGUCAAGUUAGGUCAAAAAGAAUGUCAAAUUUUAUUGCUUUAAUAUAAAUAUAGGUAGCAUAUUUUCUGGUGCAUAUUAAUCUUUCCAUUUUUGUAAAAUACUGAGUGUGUGUUUUUUAGCUUAUAUAUUUCAAGUUAUUAAUUAUUCCAACAUUUACAUCUGUUUCUACAAUGAUACUCUAUUACUUACCCAUAGCAUUUACUGUGAUAUUUUCAAAGGGGUUUUAAUUUUUGUUCUUUUCCUGUCAUUUUUGUCAUAGGCUUUAAAAUAGUAUCCUUUCAGAUCCUUCUUUAUCAAAUCACCAAUAACUUUUCUGGGGUCCUCAAUACAAAUGAAAAAAUAUUAUCCUAACCAAUGGCUAGUACUACAUAGCUGACCCUAAAACUUCAUUUAUAAAGUAAACAUGCCACCUGAAUAAGUGAGCAAUGUAGUAUUUUUCUUAUUUAAUUAGAAAAAUAAUCAGUUAGUAAGUGACACCUAAGUACUUUCUCCACAUGUCUCCUUGUAUCCGUAAGGACGAACAGGUUUAAAGUAGCUUAGUUCUUUGAAGGGCAGCUCUUUAAAGGCAAUGUCCCUUCCUUUUUUCAUCAUGGUUAUUUCCAGCAUCUAGAACAGUACCUGGUACUUGUGGGUGCCCGACUGAUAAUUCUUUUACUCAAAUAAGGCGAAACUGACUUUUAGAUACAUACAGGAAAGCAACAUUCUUGCUGAGCUGGAAGAGCUGAGCUAAGAUUCCCAGGGUGGCAGGAGUUGAAUUUUCCUUAUUACUAAGCCUCUUCACAUUAGCACACUUGAAAACAAAUUCUUGACAGAUUAUUUUGUCAAAAGAAGUCCUUACAGCCUGAGCUAUUAGCUUGCAAGGCAGGAUAACUGCAGAAGCUCCUCUAUCAGAGGUUAGAAGGCAACCUGAGAAAACUAAAUUUGAAAAAAGACGGCAUCUGUUUUAACAUGAUAUUUAUGCAGAAGUGUUCUAUAAAGAUUCUGAUUAACCCAAACUAUUAGGUUGGGCUCUAUCAGAGUAAGAGCUCUGACUGAGCAGGACAGUGUUCACUGAUUCUAGCAGAAGAAAAUGUGCUGACUGAAGAGAGACAGUAAGGGUUUGAUUAAAACUUUUCUUUGAGGUCCUCCUGGAGUACAGGGAAAAAAAGGAAAAGGAUUUUGUUUAACAAUGAUGAGGAAAGACAUUGGGCAGAGCUGCUCAGCCAGAGCACUUGUGAGUCUGGAAUGCUGAGAGGUCAGCUUUGAGUACUGGUUGGAAAUGGGCAUAUUCUGUGUGAUGCCAUCACCGAAAUCUUUGGCUCAGUAGUAUCUUUUGUCUGAAUCUGAUCAAGCAGGUCCUUCGAGGAAAACACAUCUUCCUGAAACUAGUUUAAUUCUGUCAGUGGGGACUUGGCAAUUAGUUAAUAACAAAGUCGUCUAUGAGUCUGAAAUGCUGCAUGUGAUUAAUGAUGCUGAGUACUAUGCACUGUCAGUGAGAAUGUCAGGAGUCUUGGUCCUCUCCAGCCUUGUGGCUCAUGUGGACUGACUCCUCUGUAGUAGAUUUGGGACUUUGAAAUCAAGUACAUUAUCAUUCUCUGCCUCCAUUCGUGUCCUUUACAUGAAGAAAUUGAUUAUCUCUUGGGUGCUCAAUCAAUUCCUGGUUUCCUGCUCAUGCUACAUUUGGCUAUGCUACCUUCAAUGUACCCAGCAAUUUUUAUGCUAGAUGGCAUUUCUGGCCAUUAGGGCAGGUGCCUGAAGGCAUGAACUGUUGGCUAUCCACUGGUCCGGGCAGAAGGAAAGAUCCUACGGAAUGUCCCCCUCCAUGUAUGCCCCAGAGUCAGCAAAUAGGAAAUAUCACUGUUUCGUUCUUUACAGGUUACCAUCUAUAGCAGUUGAAGUGAAUUUGUGUGAAGUGCCAACCCAGACUGCACCCAUCAGACAGAGAACGCAGCUCCUCUGUCAUCAUAAUAAUAGGACAAGAAGCACCUGAAGAAAUCUAGGAAAAAACUUAUUUUACUAUCAAAGUUAACAUAAUAACACAGCAAAUUCUUAAGACAUGCACAUUGUGAGUCAAUGUGCAUUUUGAUACGGUUAAUUUUACUGUAUCAAUAGCAUGCAACAUUACAGAGCCACUUAGUAAGUAGAGUUUAGAGUAUUUGGGGUUUUUUUUGGCUUUGGAAAAAAAGCAUAUUAAACAGCAAAACACUUCUUAUCAUGUAUUUUAAACUAUAGAGCACACCACCUGAAAAGAUUAAAAUAGUCACAGCAGAGCUCUGCAUCACCACAGCAACUUACUGGAUGACAAAAAUCUCCUUUCGUCUAAAGAAAAAUGAAGAAUAUCUGGAAGUAAAGAGUCAUUAUUUAUUUAGUAUAAAAACAUACUGUAUUAUUUUCGAUUUGCUGCUAUAAGAACACAAGUAUUUAAAUAAGUUUCAUUCGACGGUAGGAUAUUUCUUGUCCUCAAUUCACAUUUUGGUAGGACAUUUCUUGUCUGGAUUCACAUAUUUUUACCAUUGAUUGCAAAAUGAGGCAGAAGUAAAAUUAAUGACCAGAAUUUGUCAAAGAACUGAUGGCAAUUAAAAUGCUAACAAUUUUACAAAGAAAUCUCAUAUAUCAGUCCAGUAUUAUUUAUUCUCACCGAACUCACAAGGAUUGCACUACUAAAGAUUUUCCGGUUUCUGUAAGAUUGAACCUACACAAAAUGCCCUCAUUCCUUUGCCCCACAUCAUGGGAGAUAAUUCAAAAGCAGCAGUUCUCCCCUUAGAAUCACUUACUGUGUAGAACAUGCUACUUGAAGAAGGAUAAUCAUGGGCCCUUGCCUUUUUAAGAGGGUUUCUAUUGAUCUCAUCUAGUAUGCUUCCGAGUUAAACACACACACAAUUACAUGUGGAUCUUGAUACUUAAGAAUCAGAGCAACUUAGGCUGUCAUCUUGGUUGCCCUAUUUACCAGAUGUAUGACCUUGGACAGUUAGCUAAAUUCCCUAAGCAUCUUUUGUUUUUCAUCUGUAACAUGGGGAGAAGAGUACCUACCAAAAAAGAUUGACUGCAUUGAGUGAGAUCAUUACAUGCAAAACUUAACAAAUAGUACUUGCCCAUAAACAGUAGCAAUUACUACGUUAUCAAACCUUAUAUAUAAAAGCAUAUUAGGGUCAUUUAAAAUUUUACAAAUAUUAUAAAUAAUAACACCAAGUGUAUUCUGAUUUAGCUUACAAACACAUUCAUAGCAUUCUUUUAAAUAGUAAGCUUCCUAAAGACAUAUAUAUUUAAUAUGAAUUCAACUUACAAACUUCUAAAGUUGAAGAAAGACACUCUUAAAAUAGCCAUUCAAUUGUUUGCUUUAUUUUGUUGUGAAUUUUAAUUUUUUUCCCUUAUCAGUAAUUUUUACCUUUCCUUUUUUCUUUUUUAAAGUUUUAUUAAGUAUAGUUUAUAAUGUUGUGAUAAUUUCUGCUGUACAAUAGAGUGAUUCAGUUAUACACACAUCCCUUCUUCAGGUUCUUUUCCCACUUAGAUUAUAGCAGAAUAUUGGGUAGAAUUCCCUGUGCUAUACAGCAGGUCCUCGCUGGCUAGUCAUUCCAUAUACCACAGUGAGAAUUUUAAUUUUAUUCGUGAUUACUGGAUUGGGUCUUGAGUCUCGAAAUAAUGGGUCAUUACGUGCAUUCAGCGAAAAUAAGCAAGAUAACUAAUGUGGAAUAAUGCUAUAAUUUGAGGGAAAAAUAAAGGCCUGGAAAAAACCGAAUGUCAAGUAAGAAUAUUAGUAACAUUGAUUAAUAUUAUCCUACUAUUUAUCUAUUUAGUCACCAAAAUAAACAAAACUUCUAAAUUAACUGUAGAAAAGAGACACUGACAAACAUUUUUCAGCCAAUAGAAUCUUUAUUUUGUGUAAAUUCUGUAAGGUCAUUUAAUUUUAACUGCUAUAACUCUCUUAGGAAGGCAAUCUGUGUUAGUUAAAUUAGUUAACAGCCAUUCACAUAACCAGUCAAUUAGUUCAGCAUUUUUUUGCCCUUUAAAAUUAUAUUUUUUUCUUUUAAACUUCCCUAAGAGUUUAAUCUUAGACCUAACGUAAGAUCUUUUUUUAGAAAUAUAGACAGCCUAUACAAUUUAAAUAUUGUAUUUUUUUCAGCUCAUUGGAGAUUUUCUUCAUUGAAGUGUAGUUGACUUAGCAUGUUGUAUUAGUUUUAUAUGUACAGCAGUGACUCUGAACACUUUUUCUCACACACACACACUUUUUCAGAGUCUUUUCCCUUAUAGGUUAUUACAAAAUAUUGAGUAUCAUUCCCUGUGCUAUGUCAUAGGUCCUUACUGGUUAUCUAUUUUAUAUAUAGUAGUGUGUAUAUGUUAAUCCCAAACUCCUAAUUUAUCCUUUCCCCUUCCCUUUCAGCUUUGGUAACAGUAAGUUUGUUUUCCUUGUCUGUGUGUCUAUUUGUGCUUCAUAAAUAAGAUGAUUUGUAUCUUUACUUUUUAGAUUCAUAAAUAAGUGAUAGCGUAUUAAAUUUGUCUUUGAUAAUUCAGACACUUACUUCACUUAGUUUGAUAAUCUCUGGGUCCAUCCAUGUUGCUAAAAAUGGCAUUAUUUUAUUCUUUCUUACAGCUGAAUAAUAUUCCAUUCAUCUUUAUCCCUUCAUCUGCUGAUGGACACUUAGGUUGCUUCCAUGUUUUGGCUACUGUAAAUCGUGCUGCAGUGAGCAUUGGGGAGGAAAAAGUACAAGAGAAUUCUUCAGCUCCUUUGUGAAACAAGAAUCUACCGUCAGUCUCUAUGGCUCUACCCUCACCACACUUGCAUGGCUUUGAAUAGAUGUUCCUGAACCUGAAAUGCAGAUGAAGAGCUUUAGAGCUGCACCGAAGAAUGACCCCAUGCAUAUGUGUACAUGGCUACUUAUGAAUCUGUUACUAUUUUCUCUAGUCUUACUGCCUAAUGUAUACUGACUUUAUUAACAUGAAAAACCAUCAGCAAAUAAUAAGCUGGAGAUAAAGCUCUAUAAUGAAAAAAAUAUAUAUCCAAAUCACUUGUUAUUUUUAAUACAUUCCUGUAAUAAAUCAAGAAAAGCAUAUUACCUUGUGCCACUGGAAUUACAAAUAAAAUUUUUACAGCCAUGAUCACUGGACUCAUAACACACAAAUGAUAAAGCAAAAAGCAUUGAAAAUAAAUUUCUAACUUUUUAUGACUGGGGUUAUUAUGUACUAAUUUUCUAUUUAUAAAAAUAAAAUUAUUUGAAGUGUACUUGAA